rnacentral:rRNA from 1 species
UACGUAGGGUGCAAGCGUUGUCCGGAAUUAUUGGGCGUAAAGAGCUCGUAGGCGGUUCGUCGCGUCGGCUGUGAAACCCCGAGGCUCAACCUCGGGUCUGCAGUCGAUACGGGCGGACUGGAGUUCGGCAGGGGAGACUGGAAUUCCUGGUGUAGCGGUGAAAUGCGCAGAUAUCAGGAGGAACACCGGUGGCGAAGGCGGGUCUCUGGGCCGAUACUGACGCUGAGGAGCGAAAGCGUGGGGAGCGAACAGG